AUACGUAGGGGGCGAGCGUUGUCCGGAAUGAUUGGGCGUAAAGGGCGCGUAGGCGGCCUGUUAAGUCUGGAGUGAAAGUCCUGUUUUCAAGAUGGGAAUUGCUUUGGAUACUGAUGGGCUUGAGUGCAGGAGAGGUUAUCGGAAUUCCCGGUGUAGCGGUGAAAUGCGUAGAGAUCGGGAGGAACACCAGUGGCGAAGGCGGGUAACUGGAAUGCAACUGACGCUGAGGCGCGAAAGUGUGGGGAGCAAACAGGAUUAGAUACCCUGGUAGUCCACACUGUAAACGAUGAAUGCUAGGUGUAAGAGGUAUCGACCCCUUUUGUGCCGGAGUCAACACAAUAAGCAUUCCGCCUGGGGAGUACGGCCGCAAGGUUGAAACUCAAAUGAAUUGACGGGG
rnacentral:rRNA from 1 species